CUGAUGCUGGCACCAAUACUUGAAUCUUUUCCUUGUUCUCUGUCUGUCAGACUCCUGAUAAGCGCUGGCUACUCUCAAUACAAGGCUGAUUCUCAGUGAAUGCUUUAUAUGAGAACACUUUAAAGGUACUUUUUCUCCUUGUGAUCCUUCUCUCUGCUUUUUUGACAUUACUGGUCUACUCCUGCUUUAUACUUAUAUUUCUAUGUGAUCACUUUACACAGCAUCAGCCAGCAGCCGCUCUGCACAAUUAAUAUACUGCCUGCCAGGAUUUAUUUCCCUCCUGACUCCAUAUUGAACAUGUAUACCUCUAAUUGUAGCAACAAAUGAUUGAUUAGCACUACGUGCUUUCUGUCCUCGAUCCGCCUGCUUACCUUUUGGGGCUGUAUAGUGCCUACCCUCUCUGUGGCCAGUGAGAUGAAUCACCAAGGAGAUUGAGAUCCUUUAUAUAUACAUUAACAUACGUCCCUGAGGAAGCCCGAAUGGGCGAAACGUGUUGGACAGUCUACUGUAUAUAAUAUCUCAACAAUCAACUAUUGGUGAAACCAAAUACAAUAUGUGAUUUUAUUCCAUUUUUGUAUGUAUAUAAUAUGUAAGAUUAAAAUAUAUUUUUUUAUUGGUAAAACUGUUUCUGGUGUACGGUUCCU